rnacentral:rRNA from 1 species
GACGAACGCUGGCGGCGUGCCUAAUACAUGCAAGUUGAGCGAUGAAGAUUGGUGCUUGCCCCAAUUUGAAGAGCAGCGAACGGGUGAGUAACGCGUGGGGAAUCUGCCUUUGAGCGGGGGACAACAUUUGGAAACGAAUGCUAAUACCGCAUAACAACUUUAAACAUAAGUUUUAAGUUUGAAAGAUGCAAUUGCAUCACUCAAAGAUGAUCCCGCGUUGUAUUAGCUAGUGGGUGAGGUAAAGGCUCACCAAGGCGAUGAUACAUAGCCGACCUGAGAGGGGGAUCGGCCACAUUGGGACUGAGACACGGCCCAAACUCCUACGGGAGGCAGCAGUAGGGAAUCUUCGGCAAUGGACGAAAGUCUGACCGAGCAACGCCGCGGGAGUGAAGAAGGUUUUCGGAUCGUAAAACUCUGUUGGUAGAGAAGAACGUUGGUGAGAGUGGAAAGCUCAUCAAGUGACGGUAACUACCCAGAAAGGGACGGCUAACUACGUG